rnacentral:tRNA from 1 species
UGGGUUGCCCGGGACUCGAACCCGGAACUCGUCGG